CAACAACAACAGCAUAUUUUGAUGCUUUAAAGAUUAGUAUAUCGAUAUAUCGUUUUGUUUAGUAAUGCAAUAUGAACUAAAUACGUACUCUUUUGCAUUAUUAUUUGAUUAAGAAAAGUAGAAACUGGUGAUAAAAUGGUGAUAGAUAUUAAGGUUAUAAUACAAGAUCAUGAAACUUACCGACUGGUACUUCUGCUACGUCAAACCCCAUAUCGUCUAGUAGUGAGGAGGAGGAGGGGACUUGUACUUGUAGACUGGAGUAGGUGGUGGUGGAGACUUGUACUUGUAAACUGGGGUGGGUGGGUGGUAAGGCUUCUCGUGAUGGGGUGGUGGUGGUGACUUGUACUUGUAAACCGGGGUGGGUGGUGGUGGUGACUUGUACUUG